GUCUUAAAGAUUAAGCCAUGCAUGUGUAAGUAAAUGCCGUAUUAAGGGAAAACCGUGAAUGGCUCAUUAAAUCAGUUAUGGUUCCUUGGAUUGUGCCUUACUACUUGGAUAACUGUGGCAAUUCUAAAGCUAAUACGUGCAGCAAAGCUCUGACCCUUUGUUGACGAGUGCUUUUAUGAGACCAAAACCAAUCAGCCUCAUGUCCAUAUUAUGUGGUGACUCUAUAUAACUUCGGGCUGAUUGCACAGGCUCAUCCCGGCGACGUAUCUUUCAAGUGUCUGCCUUAUCAACUGUCGAUGGUAGGUUAGGCACCAACCAUGUUUGUAACAGGUGAUGGGGAAUCAGGGUUCGAUUCCGAAGAGGGAGCCUGAGAAACGGCUACCGCAUCCGAGGAAGGCAGCAGGCACGCAAAUUACUUACCGUCCUCUUUUUUAGCAUCGUCUUUCCUGCCUUUGAGCGAUCUCUUUAAGUGGUACGAAUCUUGGCCAAGGGGAUACAAGAC
rnacentral:ncRNA from 1 species